CUGCCCCUGUGCCAGACGGAUUGGAUUCUGCUCUGUGUUCUCUCUAGAGACAGGGCCAGAGGGUGCCUUGUGCCCGAUGCUUCCGUCAGUGCGGCCCUGUCCCGCAGAGAGGAAUCAGCCGCAGGUCCAGACUCCAGCCCGAGGGAGGUGCCGGGAGUCCAGCAGCCGAGGAGCGUGGCCCAGUGGAAACUUUCACAUGUUCCCAACAGAGAGAAAUACAGAAGCUCGAGGUGAUAGAUGUGCCAAUUAGCCGGAUCUCUACGUGCUGUAUACCUGUAUGGAAAGACCACAACUCCCCAUAAAUAUGUACAAGUACUUUGUAUUAAUUAAAAAUAAAAUUAGAAAUCCUGA